UAUAUAAGCUUCAAAGAAGUUAAUCUGAAGAUUAGGUUUAGGAUCUCAGUCAAGCAUUGAAGUGAAACAUUUACUUUGAGCCAAGGAUGGCUAGCAUACUUAUAUACGUAGAAGCUUCUUGUAGAAUUGGUUCUUGAAUCUUUGUAUGUCUUAGUAUGACAUUAUAUUUUCACUGCUUUUCUGCAGGGGAAGUGGAAAGAAUAGACAGUACUUAUCAGCAAACUGAAAUAGAGAAAUUUAGAGUCUAGACACCCAAUGCUUUGACGCGUGGCACUCUUGAAGAUUUUUUACCUUGUCUGCUCUAGCUGCUAGCUGUUGGGUUAGAUCUGAGCAGUGGAUGAAUACAAAGAACUGCCAGAGCCUGCAUCCUUCCUUCCUUAUAUCUAAACACAAAGAAAUAAGGACAGUGUUUCUCAUGCUGCAAAGCUUUAUUCUUCCUGCAGGGGUAAGCAAGAGCCUCU
rnacentral:lncRNA from 1 species